rnacentral:rRNA from 1 species
GUCUACGGCCGUGCCACCCUGAACAAGCCCGAUCCUGUCUGAUCUUGGAAGCUAAGCAGGGUCGGGCCUGGUUAGUACUUGGAUGGGAGACCACCUAGGACGACCAGGUGCUGUAGGCA